rnacentral:snRNA from 1 species
AUCUUUGCACAGUGUCAGUAUCAUAACCAACGCAAUGAGGUUUAUCCAAGGUAUGAUUAUUGCUAAUAGAAAACUUUUCCCAAUAUCCUGUUGUGACGACUUGGAAUAUAGUCAGCAUUAGCAAUUUUUGACAGUCUCUAAGGAAA